CGCGGGCGAGGGGACGGCGAGCCCCCGCUGCCUAAACAGAAAACGGAGGCGAUGAUCUGGGUAACUACGGGCGGAGUGGGAGGAAACCUGCUCUGCACAGUUAAGAUAACCCGGGUCCCCAGAGCACCAUCACUUCUAAGACUGUGACCUGCUUACAGAUCCACUCCUCUGCCCCCACAGUCCACAUGUCCACCCUGGGGGCCAUGGCUUAUUGAUUCUUCCAUGUAUCAGCCCAAGAAUCCCCUGCUGCCUUCUGAAUAAAGGGUGCAAAUACACGAAGCCUGCUCACGAAUCAACAUAAAACUUGGCUUCCGAUCCCGCUUCCCUGCCUGUCUGCUUCCACACUUUUCACUCACGGACUUUCCUGCUCCCCCGGGCACCUUGUCUCCUUUUCCAUCUGUGCUGACCCUUUGGCUUAGUGACUCAGCUUUUGGAUUGGCCACUUGGCUGGGCCCUUGGUCCCUGCAAAACUGAGUUUCCUGUAUCUGUGCUCUGUCAACUCUGAGUCAGCCAAACAGCUGAGGUCAUUCUCUACUUGUCACCACCGAUGAGGACGGAGAGCCAACACCACCAGUCAGUCACCCAAGCUGGAAAUUUAAGCAUCAUCAUUUCUUCUUUUCCUUCCCAGCCCUCCCAUCGCUGCUUGCAGGCCAGUGAGUUCCACCCCAGGAAUGUUCCACCCCAGUGUAUAUAUUUCCUUCUGAAGUCCCAUCCCCAUACUGCUUGAGAUCGGGGCUCAUAAUUCCCCCAAUAAACCACUGUCCAGCCUCCUGCCUCACCUCUA
rnacentral:lncRNA from 1 species